CCUACGGGAGGCAGCAGUGAGGAAUAUUGGUCAAUGGGCGCGAGCCUGAACCAGCCAAGUAGCGUGAAGGAUGACUGCCCUACGGGUUGUAAACUUCUUUUAUAAAGGAAUACAGUCACGCACGUGUGCCUUUUUGUAUUUACUUUAUGAAUAAGGAUCGGCUAACUCCGUGCCAUCAGCCGCGGUAAUACGGAGGGUCCGAUCGUUACCCGGAUUUAUUGGGUUUAAAGGGAGCGUAGAUGGGUUGUUAAGUCAAUUGUGAAAGUUUGCGGCUCAACCGUGAAAUUGCAAUUGAUACUGGCAGUCUUGAGUACAGUUGAGGUAGGCGGAAUUCGUGGUGUAGCAGUGAAAUGCUUAGAUAUCACGAAGAACUCCGGUUGCGAAGGCAGCUUACUAGACUGCCACUGACAUUGAUGCGCGAAAGUGUGGGUAGCAAACAGGAUUAGAUACCCCAGUAGUC
rnacentral:rRNA from 1 species